GGAGGUCCUCCUCCUACAAAAUCUGCUCCUGUGACAAGAAGCAAUAGUCGGAUGGGAGGCCAAGAUCGACGAAGUGAUUGGAUUGAGGCUGACAUUCCUUUUCAUCCUGUGUUGCUAGCAGAUUCAUCUUAAUUUUUCUAAAAGCUCCUAGAAGUAUUCUUUGAUGGUCCCAUAUCAUAUGGAAGAGAGAAUUAUGGAGGUCCUCCAUGCAGAAAGCCAAUCUCUUCCUGGCAAAUAACCAUAUGUCACCAAGAGAUGACGGUUAUGCAACUAAGGAUGGGGACCUCUCAUGGUGCACCACCUGCACAAGGGCCUCGGAUGUCUUAUGGUGGAAGAAGCCGCCAUUAUUAUAACAAUACACGAGAUAGAUAUAGCAGAAGUCGGAGAGUUACUCAAGACACUGUGGUGAUUUUUAUUCCUGUUUUCAUGAG
rnacentral:lncRNA from 1 species